rnacentral:tmRNA from 2 species
GGGGUCGUUAUGGAUUCGACGGGUAUGGUUCGUGCCUGAACUGCAUUUCGUACUGCGAUGCGUUAAAUCGUCCAGUUCAUUAUAACUGCAAAAAAUAAUAACAAUUCUUACGCCUUAGCUGCCUAAAAACAGUCGACGUAGAUCCAUCUAAUCUCGUCCAUGGAUUAGUAAUGGGUCCUAACUUAAGUGGACUCACGCUCCUCUGCCCACAUCUGAGGUAGAGAGAAGAGAUUAAUCAGAUUAGCUUUUCAUAUUAGCCUUGAUUAAUGGCGUCAUGAAAAGUGAACUUUAAAUAAUUGAUCUAUAAAUGUAGACGUUCAGGUGGCGACAUACUCGGACGCGGGUUCAAAUCCCGCCGACUCCAUUU